ACAGAGGGUGCAAGCGUUAAUCGGAAUUACUGGGCGUAAAGCGCACGUAGGUGGUUUUAUAAGUCGGAUGUGAAAGCCCCGGGCUUAACCUGGGAAUUGCAUCUGAUACUGUCUGACUAGAGUAUGCUAGAGGGAAGUGGAAUUCCAGGUGUAGCGGUGAAAUGCGUAGAUAUCUGGAGGAACACCGGUGGCGAAGGCGACAUCCUGGACCGGCAUUGACGCUGAGGCGCGAAAGCCAGGGGAGCAAACGGGA
rnacentral:rRNA from 1 species